CGCGGCGCAGAACCGCAGGCGCUCGCCCGGCUAAGCCUGCGCCGGGCCGCCUAGGUAGCUCCCAGCUCCGCAGGCGGCCUCCGGGUGCAGACCGCUGCGCACACGGCCCUAGGCAAAGACAAGGGCUCACCCGAGGCUCGGCGGCCGGCGCGGCUCUCGGAAUAUGGCAACCUGUGCAUGGCUUGUCCUGGGAGGAGCUGACUUCAGUCAUCGUGAUGCCUAAGAAUCAAAGAACAUUUGGGGACCAUCUGUCUGCAUUUACAGGAGGGUGAAGAACUUACAGAAUGCCCUGAGUCAGAGGGAAGGUAGACAUGAAUAAAACUGACCCUGCCUCAGGAGCGUCCCUGGAGGAGUUCAUGGCCUGACCUGGUGGCAGGACAGAUGUGUAUAGAGUCACAGCCACUGCUCUAAGCAGUGUCAUAAUGAGUCACACACCAAGUGCUCUGAAAGCACCGAGAAGAGAGCAACGCACAGGGAAACUGGCACCAAGCAUGUGCUCUGGGACUUGUGUAUUGAGGGUCAGACACCUGAACCGGCCCCCUGGUAACGGCACAUUUGAUGUGGACACAGAGCCCCUUGGGCGGGUCUGGUGAAGGGAAGACAGCAUUGCUCAGGGCUGUCUCGCCCUGUCAGUCUCUGGCCUGCUCACCCCCCAGAGGCUGCAGCUGAGAACCAUUAAGCUGUGUUCACUUAGCACAUUGCCCGGCACAAGGUAAUUGGUAUCUGUGGGAUGAAUAUAGGAACAAAUACAUUACCAGCAAGUAAACCCUCCCGUUUUCCAGCAGAAGCAAAAAGGACUGAAUAUCUCUCCGGCUGAGUUGCCCGAGUGCUGUCCACGAUCCAGCACGCACUCCAGGAAAGAUCCCUCUGGUCCUGGGCACAAAGGGAAUUACAGAAUCUUCUAUCUCCUGGUUUGGGCCUGGAGGGAGGGCCAGAAGAACUUUCAUCCACAUCCAGAAAUUCCCCCACUCAAGACUAUGAGUCCUAUUUUCAAGGCUUAAAACAAGCCUAACAUACAAACAAAGAACAGUAACAGCAACAAAGCAUGGGAAUGCGGGCCCCAACGAAAGCAAGGUAGAGUCCAUCCUGCUGGCUACCCCAGCUUGCCCAGCCCGUCCCCGCUUGGCUGGGCAUCCCAUGCGUGGACAUGUCUCCCAAGAGCCUCCCGAUGCGCGUCCUUGUUUUGUCAGACUGCUUUUCUGCAGCACAGGGCUUUUCCCAUUUAAAUCACAGAUCCCAGCUUCCCAAGUGUGUUGACAUGUCAGUAGGUUUCGAACAGCCCAUUAGGCUUUUCUGACUCAGGCAGGGCUCACCUGCCCGUGCAUGUGCACACACCUGCUCGUAAAGGUUGAAUGCAGUUGAUAGGCCGUUGUGUGGAGACUGGGGUAAUGGGUGUGGCCAGCUGAACUGCCAGCUGGGUGGACACCUCACUGGAAGAAACAGGCAAGCAUCUCCCCUUCCCCUGCCCCGGGCACACCUGCACAGAGGCCAGCUGACCUCCGAGAUCCAGGAAAGUAUUAGUUACAUUGCUAAUAACAUUAAUGAUAAUAUAAACAACAAAGCAUGUAUAAAUGCGUAUCAGGAAAUUAAUCCUGAAAUUAAAGGUCUAU